ensembl:lncRNA
UGAAAGUUGAUUCAACAUGAUUUUGCUUUUUAUACUGUUCUAAAAAUAGAUCCCUGUGUCUGAAAAAGGAAGGGUGUGUUUGUUACCUGCAUGUGAAUACCUGUGCGCCUGAGGCUCUACAGGAAGUGAUGUCACCCGCACAGGUGUAUAGGAGCAGCUCUACGCCUACAUGCAUUCAUCACAUGAGGGCUUCAUUCUUCUCGAUUUCUGGCAGCUUCCCUUUUGAAAGUGACUCUGCAGCGCUUCCUGAAUGUGGACGGGUCUUUAAUUUUCCAGACAUGU